CCUCUCCUGGGAAACCAGCCACCAUGGGAUGUUCACAUGAUGGAAGAAAAGAUAAGCUGAUGAAGGAAUAUUCAGAGCUAUAGAUAUACCAUGGGUACCCUCAAAAAGUUAUGCUGAGGAAGAAAGCCCUGGAUAUAAACUACAUCUUUGUGAUUUUCUACAUUUUCCAAUUUUUUACAGUGGAUAAGAAAGACACAUCAAGAAAAAAUAUCUUGUUUUGUUGUUUUUAAAGAAGAUAUUUUUCAGAAGAACAGAACUUAGAAAUGUAGCCUUCUAAAAAAGUUGUAGGUGAUUCUGGAGCUGCCUUCUCUGCCAUGUGGCUCAUGCAAAUUUCCAUGUGGUGUAUUUCACUCCAUAUUUUGAAGGCUUGAUAUAAGAAAGAAAAGUAAGAUGUCUUAAAAAUUUUAAUAUUGAUUUUUACAAGUUGAAAUGAUAAUG